rnacentral:rRNA from 1 species
AGCGAACGCUGGCGGCAGGCCUAACACAUGCAAGUCGAACGAAGCCUUCGGGCUUAGUGGCGGACGGGUGAGUAACACGUGGGAACGUACCUUUUGGUUCGGAAUAACGCAGAGAAAUUUGGGCUAAUACCGAAUGAGCCCUUCGGGGGAAAGAUUUAUCGCCGAAAGAUCGGCCCGCGCUGUAUUAGGUAAGUGGUGUGGUAAAGGCGCACCCAGCCUACGAUCCAUAGCUGGUCAGACAGGCUGAUCAGCCAAACUGGGACUGAGAGACGGGCCAGACUCCUACGGGAGGCAGCAGUAGGGAAUAUUGGGCAAUGGGCGCAAGCCUGUCCCAGCCAUGCCGCGUGCAGGAGGAAGGCGUUAUGCGUUGUAAACUGCUUUCAUACAGGAAGAGACGACCCUUGCGAGGGGCAUUGACGGUACUGUAUGAAUAAGCACCGGCUAACUCCGUGCCAG